rnacentral:rRNA from 1 species
GAUGAACGCUGGCGGCGUGCCUAAUACAUGCAAGUAGAACGCUGAAGGAGGAGCUUGCUCUUCUGGAUGAGUUGCGAACGGGUGAGUAACGCGUAGGUAACCUGCCUGGUAGCGGGGGAUAACUAUUGGAAACGAUAGCUAAUACCGCAUGACAACAGUUAUUGCAUGAUAACUGUUUAAAAGGGGCAACUGCUCCACUACCAGAUGGACCUGCGUUGUAUUAGCUAGUUGGUGAGGUAACGGCUCACCAAGGCGACGAUACAUAGCCGACCUGAGAGGGUGAGCGGCCACACUGGGACUGAGACACGGCCCAGACUCCUGCGGGAGGCAGCAGUAGGGAAUCUUCGGCAAUGGACGGAAGUCUGACCGAGCAACGCCGCGUGAGUGAAGAAGGUUUUCGGAUCGUAAAGCUCUGUUGUAAGAGAAGAACGAGUGUGAGAGUGGAAAGUUCACACUGUGACGGUAUCUUACCAGAAAGGGACGGCUAACUACGUG